ACUCUUUCAGGAAGACAGUGUGGCUUCAGUGAGUGUGGACAGGAAAAUUCCUUUGUUGGGCUCUGGGUCAAGUGGACUGGUCAAGCCGAAUAAGGAUUUUAUUUUUACCAGGGAAUAAAAUUUCUUUUGGAAACUGGCAGCAUCCCUAAUGCUUUUUUUUAACUUUAGAUAGGCUUUCCUUUUGUCUGUCUGCCAUGUUCAUUUUCUGAAAGCACAGGCUAAAUUUGCGUGACUAGUAGAGGAUAGAAGAAUAACUUUGGAAAGUAGAACUCAGAGUGUCUGGAUUGCUACAUAUGGAACUAGGGAUAGCAGAAGUGGUCAUUUGGAGUCCAGUUUGCAUUGCUAGGUCUCCUGGGAAAAACUGGGAAGAGGAAUUUUGGACUGAUGCUUGCAUGCUCUGAUGAAGCCAGAUGCUGUGGUGGAGAGGAACACGUGACAAGGAAGCAAGGAUGGCUUCUGCUCAACAUCCUGAAAAGACCUGAGACACCUGGUCUGAUAUCUGUGAGGAACUGAAUCCUGCUAACAACCACUGGGACACAGAGAAGAUACAGUCCUGCUCUCCCAGAUGCUGGCUUAGUUUAUAGAACAUCUUUGCUGUAGAUGAAAAGAUUGACUGGAUGAUCUUCUCCAUGUCUCCAGCCUAUCUGCACCAAAACAACCUGUCUUGAGCAUGUGUGGUUGACAACUAGAUGGAAAGGAAUUGGAGCUGACAUACACAGGAAGAUCUACUUUCUUAAAAUCUCAUGUCCCAAAGAUCUUAUGAUUCCUUGAAUGGUGUCAACUGUGUUUUAUGAUUUAUUUAUUCAUCUACUCAAUUUAUUUUGAUUGUGUGCUGCUCUGUACCAGGAACUGUGCCAAGAAAUGAGGAUACAUUGUUGAAGAAGAGGGAAUCCUAUCCUCAAGGAGCUUACAGUAGUCAGGGGAAGAUACGCACAUUUCUAGUAUGAUAAAUGCUAGGAAAAUGGAAGUAGAGAGUGCUAUGGGGUACCCAGGAGGGUUAUUCAACCCGGUCUUAUACCAUCAGGGAAUGUUUCCCAAAGGAAAUAACAUCUAAUCUGAGACCUGAAGGAUAAAUACUAGCUAGCCAGAUUAAGGAGAACAACUGGUCAGAGGGAAUGGGUUUUAGUUUUAAGGUAUUCUAGGCAGAGAGAAAAACAACUUGGGCUAAGACCAGCAGGGAAUAAAAA